UGUCCGCUCUAGCUCGUUGACAGUUGAAAGAAAGAACUAACAAACGAAGGUUUCAAUGGCCGUUGAUGCUCAGCAGGCUGUUAAUGAAGAUGCUGCCUAAUGAGGAGAUGGUGAAAGGUGUGCUUGAAGCUGUUGCUGUCUGUGGUGCCACAAUUCAAUGUGUUGUUUGUUAUUUUGUCCGUCAUGUCAAAUCUCCUGUUUCCAAUCUCACCCAUGCAGUAAGAUUAAGGCAACCUGAUCUUACAUGAUAUAGUGGUGAUUCCAUUGACAACUGCUAGAUAAACACAUUUUUCUGCGUCACAAAAAUAAUGACGCUGUUAUUAUCGCGUUUGAGAAAGCAACAUGUCACCUAAUAAAAUAACGGGUGUUGUGUCUCAUUUAAUUAGUUGUGUUCUUCCAUUUAUUUGUCUUUGUGAAUGCUCUUCCUUGUCUGAUUUUAUUGGUUUAUAAGUACUAUUUUGUAGCAAAAAAAUCACUUGUAACGAAAUAAAUCUUUUAGAUUUUU